GAGAUGAUCGCUAUGAAAUGAAGUCUCAUUCAGCACACAUCGCGAUAUUUGCCAUCAGUUUACGUGUGCUGCAGGUUGGCUGAGGAGACCUAAAGGAAGCCGUCAGUCCAGUCUUGUUUGUGGAGAGGUCUUCAUUUAGAAACAGAGAAGACAGAAAGCUGCGGAGGGAGACAUUUGCAGUGGUAGGAUUACUCACAGAUUGUGCUGUCCUUCUUUUUCAGGUCUCUACAAUAUCUAAACAACAGCUCCUUUAUGAACCCUCACAAACCUUCCUAAAAACUAAAAGAGCUGUUACUGAGUCUCAGUGAGUCUUGCCAUGAUCAGCUCUUCCCAGAAGAGAAGGAAGACCAAGGAAGUCCUUUGUUCAGGGUGAGGAAUGAAUAUGGCCAUCUUGCGCCCAAACAAAGAAGACAGCAAAGUGCACAUGUCCACUGGUGAUCUCAUCAGCCAAAUGAAGGGGUUUGACCAAGUGAUGCUCUUGAAAGGAGAGAAAGAAGAGGAUGUUGUUAAUUGUCUUCAAAGAAAAAGCUGCUCAAAAUGUCUUAAAACCUUAAAGGUCUGGGAACUGUCUGAAAAUGGGAUGUCAGGAGUGAGAGAUCCUCUGG